GGGACCGUAGCUCAACUGGUCAGAGCAACCGACUCUUAAUCGGUAGGUUGUGGGUUCGAUCCCCACCGGUCCCACCA
rnacentral:tRNA from 7 species